AAUGCACUGAAUAAUUUAUUGCAGCAAUAUUUAUAAUGAUAAGUUAGAAACAAGUAAAUGAAUUAAAAAUAAUGGUUAACUAAAUUAGAUUUAUUAUUAAGGUAUCAAGGUAUCAUUAAAAUAAUUAGGACCUUGAGCCUGGUGUGGUGGCAUAUACCUGUAAUCAGGAGACUGAGGCAGGAGGAUUGUCGGGAGCCUGCACUAUGUAGUGAGUUCAAGGCCAGCUUGAACUACAUAGUGAGACCCUGUCUCAAAAAAUAAAAUGAUUAGGGCCUUGCCAGUUGGCAUAUAAGGGUGGCCAAGUAUGGAUUGAAGCAGAAUACAAAAUUACUUCAAUUUUAUUCUUAAAACUUUAUAAAAUACACAUAAAACAAAACCAUGAAGGAAAUAUUGUGAGUUGUGUAUGUCACCAGUUAUAUGUAUGUAAAGUUUCUUAGAUAUGACUAGCAAAAGCUAAUAUUUAUCAGUUAGCGUGUGCCGUCUAACAACACUGUGAGAUAUGAAUUUUGUUAUUUUCGGUUAACAGAAAAUUUUUCAUUUGAUAAAGAUGUUUAUUAUUAGAGAUGUUUUCAAAUGUGUACAGAAAUAGAAAGCAUAUUGUAAUGAAUGCCAUGUAACUGUCCCCUGGCUUCACCACUGUCAGUUUGCAUUUUUUAGUAAGCUGCAGAGUAGGGGUUUAAAGUCACACCUGUCUUAUUCCAAAACCCAUGCUUUUAGUUACAGUCCUCUUCAUUUUUUCAGUUGAUGUCACCAAGGAUCUUAUGAUUAUUUGGUGUUUUAGUAGACACAGCAAGGGCCCAUGCUGGCCAUACCCCAUUAUAACAGUGAGGGUCUGGUUGUAAGGAGAUGGACAGAAGCCCUCUCUUUAACCCUGUGUAUUUUGUAACAAGCAUGUUUUAGCUGCAGUGUUCGUCAAAGACAAAACCUGCUGAUAAGAGUUCAUCCUGCUUUUUAAAUCUUUGACCCAUUUGUCACUCUGGCCAUUCUAAAGGUGAAGGCCUGUGGAUGUAUUGGUCUUUCUGACUAAAUCGGCCCUCUGCAGGUUGGGAAAUUGUGUAAUUAUUAACUGUGGUAAUGGACAUGUGCUUGCAAGUUUCAUCUGGUAUGGUCAUGAGCUUUACCCUCUGAGUACACACAGAAUAUACCCUAGAGUCUUUGAAACUUACCCAGUGUCCCGGACUUCACUCUUGUAUGUGAUUUUGCUAAGAAAAACAUUGUUUUCCCCUAUCCUUACCAUUCUUCAUCCCUCUAUUCACAUACACACAACUCCUAUAAAUUAUAGUACUUAGUAGCAGCAGUCUUUGAUGUAAAGAUUUUUUUUUAUUACUCUUUUUUAAGGCAGGUAAGAUGGCACAUACAUGUAAUCCCACCACGUGGGAGGCUGAGGCAGGAGGAUUGCUGUGAGUUAUAAGCCAGCUGGGGCUGUGUAGUGAGUUCAAGGCCAGCCUAGACUACAUAGUGAGACCUUAACUGGAAAAACAGACCAAAACUAAACAAAACAAAAACCAAAUUACUCAUUUUUGUAGAUAACUUUUAGAGGGCCGUAGCCCCACAUUUAUUGAGGAAUUUAUUGGGACACAUAGCCAAGGCAGACCUAGGUCAUGUUACAUAUAAAUAGCUUGUGCUCUAUAGAGUUUUGACUCAUCUCAGGCAUCUCCUAUCUUGGGGAUUUCUCUGAACUCUCAAGGCCACUCUGUGUCACCCCUGUGUGCUGCACUAGCAGUCCCUGCCCAGGAAACUCGUGGGGCAUUGGAGCUUAUCUUUGAGUUCUACUGUGAGCCUGUCCCAUGCAGUGAUACAAGAAGUCUGAAGUUCAGGAAUGAGGAGGUGCAGUGUGAUUUGUAAAGCAUAAUCAGAUGUGUGGAGAGUAAAGGAAUGGGAUUUGACAGGUUCCACAGAGAUGUGUGAGACAAACGUGUGCAUCAUGAAAGAAGAGAUAGAGAAAAACCAGAGCAGUGAGAGGACCAGUUAGGAGAGAGGGGUGUUCUAGAGAAGAGUUCCAAAUCGGAGUGGUGAAACAUUGUGAGUGCUUAUUCGGCAAUCUGAGCUUCAUUACUGUCUUAAUAGAAGGAACUAAAUAAAGUCAGAUUCCAGAGCCUUUAGGAGAAAAUGGUCAUUUGUUUCCAGAAUGAAAAUAUUAUAGCAGAAACCGUAUUUAAGUGAAGAAUAAAUGAGAGAGAGAGCAAAGAAGCAACAUAGGAGAAAUUUCUUUGUUUCUGUUUCAUUUUUGAAAAUUUGAGGCUACAGGGAAGAAAUCAUUGAAGAAGCCCAAAGACUUCAGAGAUAAUUUUUUGUUAUUGGUAAUGGUAUGUGCUUGAUUUGCUUAGAUCUGAAUAUUCCCACCAAUACAUCAGGAUAAUAUAGUCCUCCCUCUUCCCCUUAUGUAGUUUGAACUUGGGGGUUUUUGCUGUGCUGUUUGGGGCCUCCUACUGGCAAAUCUAAUAGUGGCAUAUAAAUAGUAAAACAAAUUAGAUCUGAUUAUUAAACACAUUAGAUCAGUUAUUCAUUAUACAUGUUUCUAUAAUCUUUUUGUAAGAAAUAAGAGUGGGAUUUGGGGGUAAUUAUAAUAGUGCUUAGUUCUUUGAUUUUCAAUGAGUCAUAACUUGACACCUAAAAUUAUAUAAUUCUUCUUAGCAAUAAUUCACCAUUAUAAGGUGUUUGAAAAUUGCAGUAUAUUUAUUUUAGCAGCUGGUACUUUAACAGCUGCUGUCACUGUACUAAAAUCUUGUCUUGAAAUGUGACAUAUAGGGCCAUUCUUAUAUAACUGUUGGAUCAUUAUUUUCAACUUAAAGAUUGCAAAAGAAAAGCCUGAAUUACCAAGCAAAAAAUUGAUAUUAUGAAAAUUAUAUAUAUCAUUACUCAUUAGAGUAAAACUAUUAAAAUAGAAAUCUUUUUCAAAAGUCACCCAUAACCUUGCUUCAGAAUGUUUUUUCUCUAGGAUUUUUAAUAUUAUAAAAUAUUUCUGAACAAUAUAAGAAUAUCUCUGUAAUUACACCCACUUAAAAAAAAUCAAAUGCAAUGGUUUGAUUUCAAUAGUUGAAGCCCUCUGUCUCCCUUUUAUUUAUCACAUUCCCAUUCCUCCCUCCCAAAGCUAAUUACAGUCUUACAUUUGUUUUUCUAUUCUCAAGAAUAUUUGAAAAUUCGAUAUAUUGGUAUCCUAAGUUACAUACUUUUAAAGCUAUACUUUUUUCAUUUAAAGUUAUGUUUGUAUGAUGUAUCUGUGUUGAGAUGUAGUUCUUGUUCACUUAUUUUUGUUGCCAUAUAGUAUUACCUCUUUGAAUAUUUUAUGCUUUAUCCAUUCUUUUCUUCAUGGGCUUCUAGGUUAUUCAUAAUUUAUUGCUUUUACUUCAUUUUUCUAGGGAGCCAUGUUUGGCAUAAAGGGAUGACCCUGUUUAUACAGGGGUGGUACAGCUAAGAGGAUGUAAUCAAGGGCUCAUGUAUAGCCCUUAUAGAGGUUUACAGACAUUUUGUCCUCCACUGCCGCUUGCAAUCUGCCUAGACUGUUGUGCUUCAAAAUGACCGUUUGAUUAGGACUAGAAACUACAUAAGGGCUUUGCAGUCAGUUUUCAGUUAGCAGUCACAACCCUAGGAGCAAGAGCUUACCCAACUGGCAUUUAUAGGACUAAUGCUGAGAGAGAUAGA
ensembl:lncRNA